CUUGCGGGUCCGCCUCCUCCCGGCGCUGGGGUUUUGAUCCAGGCUCUGAAAUGAGAGGCGAUCUGCGAGACUGCUCUCCUCUAAGCCACACCGGUCGGCGAUGGGUCAGUAGCGAGCUACGGGUUCUUAGCAGCUGGACCGAAGCAACUAUUUCGGGAGUACUCCAAAGACAGAAAAACAAGUGCUGAGUAAUUUUCUUGGGCGUGAGUCCAUUAUCCAUUGCAAAAUGAAAAUGUUCGCUUUUGCCUAACGCGCAAAGAAAAUACUUAGACAUAGUAACUGCUUCUGCACACAACGAUCCUCUGGCUCGCUCCGGAGAGAAUUAGCGAAGUUCCAUACAGUGGCCUGAGGCACAGAUAGAGCCGAAGUGCUGUCCAGCUCUGGGAAGCUCCAGGAGCCUGCAGUGUGGCCUAGGAGGUCUGGGCAGGUGAGCCACAGAGGGAGUCAGAGCUGUGCUCCCCCAACCCCGGGGGCUGCAGGGAAGGAGGAGGGAAUUCACCCAUCUGUCUAGGAGGCUGCUCUGGAAAAUGCUGAAAUAACAUCACUGCAUAUGGCGAAGCUCUGGAAAGCAAUGAAAUGUGUAGAUUCACGAGAUGAUGACCGAUUUUAAAAAACAUCAGUUAAAGGCAUCGUUGUGAGGCUGAAAACCAAAGAAUCAGAAGCGUGUUAAAGCCUCCUGGGCUGGUGCGGCCAGCCACCGUGUUUCAGGAAGGUGGUCAGGCAUGAAAACUGUGAACUUGCAGGCCAGGCAGAUUCUGCAAAUCAGCAAACUGGAAUGAUUUUUAAAAACAUCUGCUUAGUAUUCUGUAGGGUUAUGUGGAAGAACAGGUUUUCAAUGGUAAUGAAAUGGCUUGUUUCACGAGGACAUUGGCAAAUGAACCUUUGUAGCAAGUGGCAUUUCAGUUGACAUAAAUGUGAUCAGAGGCUUGUAGGAAUCUUACUCUGUAUUUCCUCUAUGAGCAACAGGCUAAUAUUCACUAAUUCAGUGUUUAUAGGGACUUAUAAAUAGCAACUUGAAUAACAAGAAUCAACUGUAUUUCAAGCAUAAAGCCUGAUACUAAAAAAUCAAGUCCUAUAAACCACAAAAUUAAAAGUAAAAUUUAAUAGAAAGCAAGGUCUCAUUUAAAUCAUGGAAAAGAUGGGGUCCUGAGGGUCUGCUCAGGAAUGUUCAUUGAGCAUGCUCAAGGCCCUGAGCUCAGAUUUCUAACCCUGAAAAAAAAAAGACUCUAGAAGUUUUUAUGCAAUAUCAAUAUCUAAUAUUUUACACAUUGCUCUCUAUUGCUUUCUUAUAUAAUAGAAAAUAUAGUGGGCUGGGAUUGAAGCUCAGUGGUAGAGCACUUGCCUAGCAUGUGUGAGGCACUGGGUUACAUCCUGAGCACCUCAUAAAAAUAAAUAAAUAAAAUAUAGGUAUUGUGUCCAUCUACAACUAAAAAAUAAAAAAGAGAAAAUAUAGUAACUUUUUCCAACAAAGCUCAAGGUUGAUGAUCUCAUUUCUUCCACUUCCUUUUUUUAAAAUAUUUUUUUAGUUGUUGGUGGACCGCUCUCCCUCUCCGGUCCUCCCCCUCUAACCCUCCUCCCUCCUCCACCUUCUCUUCCCUCCUCCCCCUACAGUCUUGGGAAGGUGCAACUCUAAGUGGUGCUGAGAAUCAAACCCAGUGCAUCACGCAUGCUAGGAAAGUGCUCUACCACUGAGCUACAACGCCAGCCCCCUCUUCCACUUCCUGUUAGUUGCUAUGUAAACACUAGCUUGUUUGUGGACCAUGAGAUGAGAACAGUCGGAAAGUACAGCAUUAGACUUAAUUAUGACUUAUUUACAUGAAGCUCAGUCAGCCAGAAGAAUGCUUAAAUCAUCCUUCAAGAACAGCCAAAUAGGGGCUGGGGUUGUGGCUCAGUGGCAAAGUGCUCGCCUAACAUGUGCGAGGCCCUGGGUUUGAUCCUCAGAACCACAUAUAAAUAAAUAAAAUAAAGGUAUUGUGUCCAACUACAACUAAAAGAUAAAAAUAUUUAAAAAAAAAAAGAACAGCAAAUGCCUGUGCGACGGGAGCCGUACAGCCACUGGAAGGACGGAGACAGCUCCCCAGGUGCAGUGGCACACACCUACAAUCCUGUGACUCACAAGUUUGAAGCAAUGCAGCAAGACCCUGUGUCAAAAUUAAAAAAAAAAAAAAUCCCAGGGCUGGGGAUCUAGCUCUGUUGGGGCAUCCCUGAGUUCAAUCCCCAGAAUGCGACAGCUCCAAGUGCUGCAUGGUGAAGGGGAAGAGGCUUGGAGAGGUGUUAAUGAGCACAGACCAGCAGGUGGGGUGAAUAUUCAUUUCUUUUUGUAGCUGCCCAUAACAAAUGAUCACAAAUGUGGGGACUCAUGACAGGUAAUCAUUGUCUGAAAGUAGGAAGCCCCACACAUGUCCCUGGGUCUUUGUGGAGGCUCUGGGAAAGUCAGCCUUGCCACCCCCACUCCUUGUCUGCCCCCAUUUUCAAAGCCCCCGCUCUCCCUCUCCUGUCCUCCCCCUCUAACCCUCCUCCCUCCUCCGCCUCCUCUUCCCUCCUCCCACUACAGUCUUGGGAAGGUACAACUCCAAGUUUCUCGUCACUGCAGUGGCCUGACAAUCCAGGAUAAUCUUCCCAUCUCAAGAUCCUUAACUGUGCCAAGUGCUGUGGCUCAAGUCUGUAAUCCCAAUGGCUUGGGAGGCUGAGGCAGGAGGAUCUCCCAGCCUCAGCAACAGCGAGGCGCUAAGCAACUCAGUGAGACCCUUUCUCUAAAUAAAAUACAAAAUAGGGCUGGGGAUGUGGCUCAGUGGUCGAGUGCCCCUGAGUUCAAUCCCCGGUACCCACAGCAAAAAAAAAAAAAAAAAAAAAAAGAUACUUAACUGUAAUUGCAUCUGAAAAGCCCCUUUAGCCACAUGAAGUCUUCUACUCACAGGUCCCAGGGGUUAGGACGUGGACAUGCUGGCAAGGAGACAUCAUCCUGCUCAGAGCUGCUCCUGUGGUAGAAAACUAUGGGGCAUAGGAAGGCUAACAUUUCACUAUAUGUACCCUUUAUUAUUUGGUUUUAAAUAUAUGCAAGACUUAAUUUAAUUGAAUAAACUUUAAAGCUCUUAAAUUAAUUUAAUCAGUGUUGUUUGUCUUCUUGUGUUUUUUCUUUAUUUUUGGCGCUAAGGAUAGAACUCAGGGCCUCACUCAUGCUAAGCCAGGGCUUUACUAAUGAACUAUGCCCCCAGCCUCGCUUGUAUAUCUUAAAUACUAAGUAAUUAAAAAAAAAAUCUUCUGAGCCAGUUGCAGUGGUACAUUCCUGUAAUCCCAGCCACUCAGGAGGCUGAGGCAGGAGCAUCACAAGUUCAAGGCCAGCCUCAGCAACUAAGUGAGGCCCUAAGCAACUGAGGGAGACCCUGUCUCAAAAUAAAAAUAAAUAAAAAGGGAUGUGUUUCAGUGGUUAAGUGCCCCAUGGGUUUAAUCCCUGGUUCAAAAAAUCCCAAACUUCUGGAUUACAGCCUCUAAGGUCCACCACAAUGGCCACCAGAUGGCGCCCUUUUGACACGCUGGCGUGUCCUGGUCACAGGGCUUGCUUGCACCUUGGCUGCUGUGUUCCUCAUCAGGAACCCAACAGGGAUGAGGCGUGAGAGGCACACUCCAGAGCCCAGGGCAGCUGCACUCAGUGGUUUCUUUGCGCUGCCAUUGCAUUUGGAACCUGCUUCCCCCUCUGUUAACUGUCAACUCCUGGCCUCACCCUCGGACUGAGAAUCCACAUGAACAGCACACCUGGUCAGAUGCCACCUUCCUUUGCCUCGUCCUGUCUCCACAACUUACCCUUCUUUGAUGGAGUCUGCUCUCCUCUUCGGGCCUUCACUCUCUACAUGGAAUCAGUCUUACAGAAGGGGGGAGAUGCUAAGAGCCACAGCCAAAUAAUAUGAUGCAUGGCAUUUUUGGUUGAAAGGUGACGCCAGCAAGCCAUUGAGAUGAUAUGAUUAUGUUAAGAUCUGCAUUUAUAUGGAUAUUGGACUCCUGCUGUCCACCUCGGCCUGCUACAGGACUCCUGGAGAGUUCCCAUUGGUUGGGGAAGUGCGGUAGGAGGGAAUUCCGGGGGAGGGACUUCCUGUUGGGGUCCGGGAGAACGCCGCGUGGGUCGGUCGGCAAUCUUCCCGGGAGCAUAUGGGGCAUUGGCGGCAGUUUCAAAAAUAAAGUUUGUUCCUGCUUGA